UACGUAGGGUGCGAGCGUUGUCCGGAAUUAUUGGGCGUAAAGAGCUUGUAGGCGGUUUGUCGCGUCUGCUGUGAAAAUCCGGGGCUCAACCCCGGACUUGCAGUGGGUACGGGCAGACUAGAGUGUGGUAGGGGAGACUGGAAUUCCUGGUGUAGCGGUGAAAUGCGCAGAUAUCAGGAGGAACACCGAUGGCAAAGGCAGGUCUCUGGGCCACUACUGACGCUGAGAAGCGAAAGCAUGGGGAGCGAACAGGAUUAGAUA
rnacentral:rRNA from 1 species